rnacentral:rRNA from 1 species
CAGUCGCCGCGGGAAAACGGAGGGUGCAAGCGUUAAUCGGAAUUACUGGGCGUAAAGCGCACGCAGGCGGUCUGUCAAGUCAGAUGUGAAAUCCCCGGGCUUAACCUGGGAACUGCAUUUGAAACUGGCAGGCUAGAGUCUUGUAGAGGGGGGUAGAAUUCCAGGUGUAGCGGUGAAAUGCGUAGAGAUCUGGAGGAAUACCGGUGGCGAAGGCGGCCCCCUGGACAAAGACUGACGCUCAGGUGCGAAAGCGUGGGGAGCAAACAGGAUUAGAUACCCGCGUAGUCCCUGUCUCUUAUAC